CAGGUGGCCAAUAGAAAAAAAAUGGACUUUACUUGGGACACCAAACUUUCUUCUCAAAUACAACCUGGUGACAUAUUUGAGUUGCCCAGAUCCACCAUGUGGAAAUCACUACCCAGUAAUUUAACAUACAUAGGGGAAUACAAAAUCAAAAAUCCAGAUAGCAAUAACCAAGUCCCAUGGCAUUAUUGGAAACUCUUCAUUCAGCUGUGCUUAAAUCUGUCUACCACUGAAAAUAACAACUAGAAAUGCUGAAAAAUUGCCUCAGCAUGUGAGUACAUUGUUUUUUCAACAGGAUCAAACUUUCAAAUUCACUUAUUUUAAAGAGUGUUUCUUUCACAUAUACUAGAAAUAUUUCUUAUCUCUAAAUCAGAAAUGCAUAAAGAACAUGUGUUGACUUAAUUAAUUGCAUU
rnacentral:lncRNA from 1 species